ensembl:lncRNA
AUUGAAGAAGAGUGAAGUGCCACCUUCUGGGAGUGGCAGCAGGGCCCCAGGACCUGUGACUGAAGGGGAAAACCAUUGCCCUGGCUUCUGCUUGGCUGGCCACAGCAUCAGGCCCUGGGAUGGAUGGGCCUUGGGCUGGCACCUAGCAUCCAAGGAGACCUCAGCUGGGUGUGUCCUUCUCCAGUGCUGCUCUUUAAAACAGCUGCCUGUGUUCUGGUGGCCAGAGAGAUCAAAGGCUAAAGGCAAUCCCAACCCUCGAGCUUGUGGGGCCCCCCAGCUUUCUCUUCUGUCCCAGUAACUGUCAGGCAACACUGACAGGGACCCUAGCUCAGCCCAGGACAGUACACAGCCCUUGCUGGCUUAUUUUUAGGUAGGUGCUCCUCCUGCCAGCUGACCCCUGGCACCCCUCCCCAGGACUCAGCACCCGGCUGCACUGUCUGGAAGUGACCUCAGGUGCAGGCGGGUUGCUGCUGUCCUGGAAGCCUAGCUCAGUGGGGAGACCUGCACCCAGUGGGGCCCAGCUGGCUGUGGUGGAGGGGCAGCUUUAGGAGGCCACAAGAGAAGCAGCUAGAACCAAGGAGGCCUUUAUUGUGCUUGGGCUCCUAGCACUGUCACUGCAUUCCAUGGACGUGUUCCUUUCCUGGACUCAGUUCUGCUUUUUAGUCCAUGGGAGCAAGUCGGGGUUGUAGCUGGGAGCUGGUCCUGCCCCAUGCACUCCACAGGGCUUGGUCCCUGUUCCAGGACCCCUGGUGUCCCACCUGCCCGGGGCCUGGGCUGCUGGUGGCUCCUCUCUUUGGGCUCCUGGCUGCCAGGUGCUGGUGCCAUCUCUCAAAGGCCCGGAAUUAGGGAGGGACAGGAAAGGCUGUCUCAGGCAUCCUCCAGGCCCUACUGUGCUUGACUGUUUCAGUCCCUGUGGAGGCCCCACCUCCUGUCCUAGGCAGCCAGGCCAAACACACAGGCUCAGAAUAGAUCUGACUUGUGACCUGGGAAGCCUUGCUCCAAGCAGUGAAGAGGAGCGGGUGCUGGCGGGCACUUGGGACCAAGCCCCAGGCGGCCACUGUGCCACAGGUCAAGCCUUGUUCCCAGUGAUGGGGAGACUGGCUGAGCCUAUGGCCACCUGUCAGAUCCAGGGGCCCACCAUUCAGACUGCACAUUCACCUCCCCAGAAAACAAAGGGACCGAGGGGGCCAGCAGGGAAACCCCCCACUCAGCAGUGUCCAGCGGUACCCCUGGUUGGAAGGCCAGCACCGGGCCACUGCUAUACCUGGGAAAGGAGCCAGCUGUCUUGCUGUUGUAGCCGCCUGGCCACUCGCAGCUGCAGGACUUGCCGCCGCCACGCCCUCCAGGCCUGUCCCAGUUGCCUUGCCGGAGCUGUGACCAGAAAUGACAAGAGGAGCCCCCUUCACCAUGCUCCCUAGCACCCCAGCCCUCUGCCUCUCCUGCAGCUCUGGCACCACAGUGGACAGGACGUGACAAAGCUGUGUCACCCACGGUGCUGUUUCUAGGGUCAGGAGGUGGAGAUGCAGUGAAGAUCUCACUGUGGGGUGGGGAGAGCCUGCCAAGUCCACUCACCAGGCUCCAGGACAGCUGCUCAGCCCCUCGAGCACCUGCCCAGCACUGCCAUGUCACCCUCAGGAGCCUGACCCACUGUGAGGCCUGGAAUUUGCAGAGCAGAACUCAAGGCUCCAGCACCGUGGGUACUUCUGGUGGCCAAGGCAUCAUGACCUCAUCAAGGCCAGGGAGAGGGCCUGGGCCUGUGCUUGCUCCUCCAGGCCCCUGUGGGACAGAGUCCUAGCCAGAGAAGCCUCGGGCCCUUCCCUCCCUCCCUGCCUAGUGUGGUCACACAGCUGCCCAUACCCCAGCCUGCUUGAAGGAUCCUCGCCUUGGGGGCCUCUGGUCUCAGAGCCACAGAGCACUGGUGCUGUGAGGGCCCAGCUACUACAUCCAGGCCACUGCAGCCACAGCUGGAAUACAGGGCUGAGGGGACAAUCCGUGUAGCCUGUAAAAGGGAAUUAGAGAGGUUAGCACAUUGCUUCAGGACAGCAACUGCUCCCUCAGUGCCAGCCAGAGUUGCUGCUGCAGAGGCAGCAAGUGAGAAGCCUGGGGCCUCCCCUCCCCACAUCCCCAGGACUCUGGCUGCUGCACUGGGAAAGGAGCUGCAAUCUCCACACAGCUGGAUUAAAAAGGAAGUGGCUGGGGAGAACAGCAAAUACAGGUAGCCAGAUUGGCCAGGGGAUUGAUUUCCAGGCACUCAAGGGCUGGCGAUAUCUCAUCCACCCCUGCCACUGAGACACCCAGGGACUGAGUCUGCUUACAGAGCCCCAGCUGCUGUCCCCUCUGGCCUUUGUCCACUGCAGCUGUGCUUUGGCCCAAGCAGUGUGGCCUCUGUGGCCGGUGGCCAGUGGCCAGCAGCUUUGUGUCUAAAUGACAGCAAGAAAAAACCUGAGCCGGGCCAUGGACCUGCUUGUGCCCAGCUGUCCUGCCCACCCACCAGUAAGACCCCCCCCAUUUGUGCACCCUAAUGGGGGAGCCCCUCCCAUGAACCUUGAGGCCCCCAGAGGAGAUGGAGAAGGUGCUCAUGGGAUGUGUGGCCCAUUGUCCCACUCACUGAAGACAUCCAGUCAAAGGAGGGAACUGAUAAGAGCUUACCUGGGCCAGGACCAGCCCUGAGAGGUGGCCGUCACUGUCCGUACUUAAGCUUUACAAGAUUUGCUGACAGAAGUGAGAAAGAUUACAAUCCCCUGUAACCCAUCUAGAAAUGCAAUGUCCUGAGCCCCCAGGCCCUGGUGUUGCUAUUGACCCGUCUAUGUGAAUUCUGAAAACCCUUGAAUCUUCCCUCCUGAUUUCACUGAAAGAACAAAAACCACUUUAGCGUUUUUCUCAGAAUCUGUAAACUCUGCUCUUCCUGGCAUUCUGAAGAUGCCAGGUGAUCUUUGGAAACUACUGGGCCACCCAUCUCUGGGGCUGUGUCCCUUGAUGAUGGUCCCCAGACUCCUGGGCAGUGUCGGGGUUUUUUAUGCCUGGCUGUGGUGGUGGCUUGUCACUGUUUGCCAGUGUGAGAACCAACAGCAUCAGAUCUGGAGAGGGACUGAUGAUUACUUAUGAAUAGAGAAAAUGAUACGGAAAUUUUUUACUUUUAUAUUUUGAUUUUUUUUCUGUAAUGAGCAUAUUUAAUUUUUCCAAUUAAAAAAAAACGAUUAAAAACGC